AAACUAUUUAUUAUUAUAUUUUGAAAAUAUAAUACAGAUUUAAUCUAUAGUUUA
rnacentral:tRNA from 1 species